rnacentral:rRNA from 1 species
AGCAGCCGCGGUAAUUCCAGCUCCAAUAGCGUAUAUUAAAGUUGUUGCAGUUAAAAAGCUCGUAGUUGAACUUCAGGCCUGGCUGGACGGUCCGCCUUCCGGGCGAGUACUGUCUGUGGUCGGGUCCUACCUUCUGGCGAAGCGUCAUGGCCUUAACCGGCCGUGGCGGGGAACCAGGACUUUUACUGUGAAAAAUUAGAGUGUUCAAAGCAGGCAAUUUCGCUUGGAUACAUUAGCAUGGAAUAAUGGAAUAGGACAAUGGUUCUAUUUGUUGGUUUCUAGGACUGUUGUAAUGAUUAAUAGGGAUAGUUGGGGGCAUUAGUAUUCAAUUGUCAGAGGUGAAAUUCUUGGAUUUAUUGAAGACUAACUACUGCGAAAGCAUUUGCCAAGGAUGUUUUCAUUAAUCAAGAACGAAAGUUAGGGGAUCGAAGACGAUCAGAUACCGUCGUAGUCUUAACCAUAAACUAUGCCGACUAGGGAUCGGAUGAUGUUAAUUUU